AUCACUGGUCCACCAACAUCUCACUGGACUCUCCACCAUGUUCCUCUGAAUGCCACCAAGCAGUUCCAGGUGGAGUUUGAGGUUCGUAAAGGAGCAGGAAACUCUACAGGCGGCUUCUCUAUUGAUGACAUCAAUCUUUCAGAGCUCGAGUGUCCAGAUGGAACCUGGCAGAUUAAUAAUUUUGAGAGGCUUUUGAACACUACUGAUACUCCGGCCCUGAUAUAUAGCCCAAGGCAGUAUUCUAGUGAGGGCUAUGCUUACCGGGUAGCGUUAAAUCCCCGCCAGACAGAUUUUGGAGUAUAUGUGCAACUUGUCUCUGGUGUCUAUGAUGACCAACUGAAAUGGCCUUGCCCACAAAGGCAAUUUACUGUCCAAAUGGUGGAUCAGAACCCCAACAUCCAGCUACAGAUGUCAAGGCAAAUAAGUAUCACCACUGACCCAAAUCUGCUGUACAAUGGAGUACUAAUUUGGGGCAAACCUCGUGAGGUUGGAAGUCAAAUUGUUGACAAGAACAAUGAGAUCAUCUAUGUUAAUACCCUAUAUGGUUAUAAAAAUUUUGCAUCUUUGGAAGACAUCCAAUCCAGAGAUUACCUCAAGGGAGAGAGUGCAAUUUUCAUCUUCAAUUUACAAGAUCUCACUCCUCUACUUAAUGGAAGUUCGCUGCCAUGUCCUCAAGUGAAAUCAGUGAGCAUUACAAGUGCUCCCACAGACCAGGAUAAAGGACCUUGCUCAUCCAGGACCUCACCCACCACACUUCCAUCUCUAAACACAACAGAUGACAGGAUCUCAUCCAUCACAAUUCCAACUCCAGAAAUAACAAACCAUAACAGAACCUCACCCACUGCAAUUCCAAUUCUAAACACAACAGAUGACAGGACCUCACCCACCACACUUCCAUCUCUAAACACAACAGAUGACAGGAUCUCAUCCACCACAAUUCCAACUCCAGAAAUAACAAACCAUAACAGAACUUCACCCACUGCAAUUCCAAUUCUAAACACAACAGAUGACAGGACCUCACCCACCACACUUCCAUCUCUAAACACAACAUAUGACAGGACCUCACCCACUACAAUUCCCACUCCAGAAACCACAGAUGACAGCAUUUUUUGCUUUUCUCCUGGUAUGGUGGCCUCUCCGGUUCUCACCCUCCUGCUAGCACUGAUGCUUCUGAUACCUUGAUGUGUAUUUCAUCUGCAUCUGGACUCUUUACAUGGAUGACACCAAUGACUCUUUCAGAUAUUUUUCUUGUUUUACAACUGUAUGACCUGAAAAUUUAUAUCCAUUCCUGUUUGAUUUAUUAUAGAUGUUCAUAAUUCAUGUUCAUGAUUUUUCAUGAUUUUUUUUGGUGUUACAACAGUUUUGGGUUUUGGGGUUUUUUUUGUUUGUUUGUUUUUUAUUUUGGUUGUUUUUAUAAUAAUCAUUGCAACAAUAUUUUUGUUUUGUGUCCACAAUAAAGAGAAUGCAAACAAAAAGUUAAAUGAUAAGUACUUAAAAUAUAUUAUAGUUUUAAACUCUAAUAUUUGUGUGCUGUACACUCAUUUGAUAGUUUUGUUUACUGCAAUUUUCAAUCACGAGAAAUCCACAUAGUUUCACAGAGUUUGAAGUUAUUAAAAUGCAGUGAAAGAAAAUUUUCUACUAUGACUACAAGCCACAGUGUGCUUUCUCAGAUGCUGGUGUACUGAUGUUUAACAAAAAAUAAAAUUUAUAAUCUUUAAAACAAAAA